AACGAACGCUGGCGGCAUGCCUAAUACAUGCAAGUCGAACGAGACCUUCGGGUCCAGUGGCGCACGGGUUCGUAACGCGUGGGAACCUGCCCUUAGGUUCGGAAUAACUCCCCGAAAGGGGUGCUAAUACCGGAUAAUGUCUUCGGACCAAAGAUUUAUCGCCUUUGGAUGGGCCCUCGUUGGAUUAGCUAGUUGGUAGGGUAAAAGCCUACCACGGCGACGAUCCAUAGCUGGUCUGAGAGGAUGAUCAGCCACACUGGGACUGAGACACGGCCCAGACUCCUACGGGAGGCAGCAGUGGGGAAUAUUGGACAAUGGGCGAAAGCCUGAUCCAGCAAUGCCGCGUGAGUGAUGAAGGCAUUAGGGUUGUAAAGCUCUUUUACCCGGGAUGAUAAUGACAGUACCGGGAGAAUAAGCUCCGGCUAACUCCGUG
rnacentral:rRNA from 1 species